rnacentral:lncRNA from 1 species
AUAUACGAAACACACUACUAUAGCAGCCUAUGAGAGGAGACAUGGCUGAUUGCUUUGCACUGGGUAACCAGUUGGUGUGUGCUUCCCCCGAGAAGACCACCUCUCCUGCUCCCAGUUUCCUUCAAUUGCCUGUAGUUUGUUGUGUAGGGAUGAGACCUUGUAUGGAGAGCAGCACAGUCACAAUGCCAGCUUUCUUCCUGCUGAGCUUCAUUGCUGCAGCUUUGGAUUCUACAAGACUUGUCUUGAGUCUCACUCUGAAGCCUAGGCUGACCUAUGGUCAUGCCUCCACCUCUGCCUACUGAGUGUGAGAAACACGGGCAUCAGCCAUCACACCUAGUUUUAUUUGAGGUAAAUCGAGUCUUUGUUCUUGGGAAGCAGACAACACAGAUACAAUGUGUAUCAUGAAUAGAUGUGGAGGUUUGAAUGGCAGUGGGCACAUAGGGCUUCAAAACUGUAUUGAGCAAUUCAGGCUUAGAUCAACAGUUAAUUAAUGGGACCUCGUGAAACCAAAAGGCAAAGAGGGCAAAGAGCACUGUCAAAGGGGCAAAAUGGCAGUUUGCAGAAUGGGGAAGCUCUUUACCAACCCUACAUUUGACAGAGGGCUGAUACCCAAAAUAUACAAAGAACUCAAGAAAAUAGACAUCAACAAAUGAAAUAAUACAAUUAAAAAUUGGGGUACUUUGCUAAACAGAGAAUUCUCAGCAGAGGAAUGGCUGAGAUGCACUUAAAGAAAUGUUCAAUAUCCUUAGUCAUCAGGGGAAUUCAAAUCAAAGACUCUGAGAUUUCAUCUUACAGCCACCAGACUGGCUAAGAUCAAAAACUCAAGUGACAGCUCAUGCCGGCAAGAAUGUGGAGCAAGGGGACAUUCCUCCAGUACUGGUGGGCAAAUAAACCCAUACAACCACUUUAAAAAUCAAUUUGGCAGUUUCUCAGAAACUGAGAAUAGUUCUAUCUCAAAACCAAGCUGGUCCACUCCUGGGCAUGUACCCAAAAGAUGCCUCACCAAACCACAAGGGCACUUGCUCCAUUAUGCUCAUAGCAGCUUUAUUCAUAAUAGCCAGAGACUGGAAACAAUCUGCAUGUCCCUCAACUAAAGAAUGGUUAAAGAAAAUGUGGUUCAUUUACACAAUGAGAUGCUACUCAGAUAUUAAAAACAAGGACACCAUGAAAUUUGUAGGCAAAUGGAUGGAACUAGAAAAUAUUCUGAGUAAAGUUACCCGAACCCAGACCUGCCUCUGGCCUCUCCUCCGUCCCAGUGUUCCUAGCCAGCCUUUUCCUCCUCUGUCUCUGUCUCUGUCUCUGUCUCUCUGUCUCUCAAUUUCUCUGUGUGUGCCCUUCUUGUCCCCCUUCUUUCUCAGCCUCUACUACUCUCUCAAUCUCUCUUCCCAUGCUCUCAAAUAAACUCUAUUUU